GUGCUCACUUCAGCAGCACAUAUACUAAAAUUGGAACAGUACAGAGAUUAGCAUUGCCCCUGCGCAAGGAUGACAUGCAAAUUUGUGAAGCGUUCCAUAUUAAA